UGAAUAUGCCAUCUUUCAUAACCAACUUAAAAGGGAAGAAAUUUAAAUAUACUUAAAAUAAAAUAAUAAAUCAUCAUCACCAUUUUGCUCUCUAUUUUUUAUGCUUAUCGCCACUAAUAAAUUCUCCAAAUUAGAAGAUUGAUUUAAACAAGAAAACACAAUUAGAGAGCUCUCAGGAAGUGUCAUGUGUACCCAGCCUCCAUCUAAGGGGGUUGUUUGGAUUUGAUUAUGUUGUUUGAUAUCACAAUAAUCAGAUAAUCAAUUAUUGAGUGUUUGGCAAAUAUAUAUAUUUUAAAAAAUAAAUAAGUGAAAUCUUAAUCCCAAUAGGUAUCUUGCCAACUGCACUCAAUAGUCAAUAACAUGGCCUUAACCUCACUCCUACUUGUAACUUCAACCCAACCAAGUUGAACAUGACCUCCAAAGUACCCAAGUGGGUAAGACUCAACCGACGGAAACAAAAAACAAGAAAAAGGGUUAGAAAAAUUUCAAGAAAUUAUAGGUUUCCAUACUUUUGUUAGGUUCUCAAAAUAAAAAUUAUGGGUGGAAAGUUUGUCCUAAUCAUAAAAGUAUGUUCCAGCCUUAUGUCUACCCUGUUGAUUCUCCCCCAUGAGCUUAAAAUUACCUAAAUGCCACUGCACAUCCGCUGAGCCAAAAAUAGGCGAAAACAUAAAGCUGAGCAGAAUCAAAACCAAGAUAUAAAUUGUGGUGAAUUAAUGUUAAACGGGUCAAAAAAUAGACAACUAAAAUGAAAUGGUUAUUGCCAAGUCCAUGUGUAUAUUAAGUUCGAGACUUCAGAAAUGAUGAUACGAGUCACGAGAAAAACUACAAAAAAAACAAACCACACAAAACAAUAUCAUCAAAGCUUUGAAUGGCUGUUGAUGUGCUACAAGUUGACUGCCAGUUUGUUCACAGUUAGUCAUCAUUAUUACUAAAGAACUCCCCAAACAACUUGACAUUGUUACAAGUAACCAGGUAGUUUCUUAUGAUCUUAACCACUUAAUAUAUGUUGUCAAAGUUGGUGGAAAUGAGAAAGACAGUGUUCGAAAUCAAAGCCACUAAAAUGGCCAUAUACAAACACAUAAAAUGAAAAGAGACCGAGAGGCGACAACAGAAUGAAACUACCAGCUUAAUUAGGAUUAAAACUGCUUAUGUGAUAGGCUAAGUAGCUUCGAUCACCACACUUCGCAAACAAACUACCAUUAGAGUGGAAAGUUAUAAGAACACAAACUCUGCAAGAACAGAUGAUACUAAACACAUCAACUUAUCUUAUUGCUAUGUGAUAAUCAGAUGAAACAAAAUAACAAAUACAACUGUUACUCAUCUAUGAGAUCCUUGUAGCAAUAAUUCUGCGAGACAAUUCAUCGAACACCUAGAGUGCAUACACUACGCCACCAAAGAU
rnacentral:lncRNA from 1 species